AACGAACGCUGGCGGCAGGCCUAACACAUGCAAGUCGAACGAAGUCUUCGGACUUAGUGGCGCACGGGUGAGUAACACGUGGGAAUAUACCUUACGCUGGGGGAUAACAUCGGGAAACUGAUGCUAAUACCGCAUACGCCCUUCGGGGGAAAGAUUUAUCGGCGAAGGAUUAGCCCGCGUCCGAUUAGCUAGUUGGUGAGGUAAUGGCUCACCAAGGCUCCGAUCGGUAGCUGGUCUGAGAGGAUGACCAGCCACACUGGGACUGAGACACGGCCCAGACUCCUACGGGAGGCAGCAGUGGGGAAGAGUGGACAAUGGGCGCAAGCCUGAUCCAGCCAUGCCGCGUGAGUGAUGAAGGCCUUAGGGUUGUAAAGCUCUUUCACCCACGACGAUGAUGACGGUAGUGGGAGAAGAAGCCCCGGCUAACUUCGUG
rnacentral:rRNA from 1 species